rnacentral:misc_RNA from 1 species
GGGACCAUGAACGGGCCGAACCGUGAGCGACUCUGCUGCGUCACAGUGGCGCGAUUGAGAUUAAAUUGUGCCGCGCGAUUUGUUCCAGGAAACUUUCAGGGAGCCUGCGCGUUUAUGUGGCAUGUCAUCACGCAAGCCACCUCCCAUGAUCAAUCAGCCACCUUCCGAUGGCAGCACCAUGCCCCGGCAGAUGGUGUCGCGCGUCGAACUGGUGGGGCCGAGGCAGCCGACGCCUUAUGACAAGGCGCUGUGUGCGAAGGCGCGGGGCGAUGCCCUGAAAAAACAACGCGAAGCGCUGGGCGCGUCCA